ACGGAGGAUGCAAGCGUUAUCCGGAAUGAUUGGGCGUAAAGCGUCCGCAGGUGGCAAUUCAAGUCUGCUGUUAAAGCGCAGGGCUUAACUCUGUAAAGGCAGUGGAAACUGAAUAGCUAGAGUGUGGUAGGGGCAGAGGGAAUUCCCAGUGUAGCGGUGAAAUGCGUAGAGAUUGGGAAGAACAUCGGUGGCGAAGGCGCUCUGCUGGACCAUAACUGACACUCACAGGACGAAAGCUAGGGGAGCGAAUGGGA
rnacentral:rRNA from 1 species